rnacentral:rRNA from 1 species
ACGCUGGCGGCAGGCUUAACACAUGCGAGUCGAACGGUAACAGGAAUUAGCUUGCUAAUUUGCUGACGAGUGGCGGACGGGUGAGUAAUGCUUGGGAAUCUGGCUUAUGGAGGGGGAUAACUACGGGAAACUGUAGCUAAUACCGCGUAAAAUCUUCGGAUUAAAGGGUGGGACUUUCGAGCCACCUGCCAUAAGAUGAGCCCAAGUGGGAUUAGGUAGUUGGUUAGGUAAAGGCUGACCAAGCCGACGAUCUCUAGCUGGUCUGAGAGGAUGACCAGCCACACUGGAACUGAGACACGGUCCAGACUCCUACGGGAGGCAGCAGUGGGGAAUAUUGCACAAUGGGGGGAACCCUGAUGCAGCCAUGCCGCGUGAAUGAAGAAGGCCUUCGGGUUGUAAAGUUCUUUCGGUGACGAGGAAGGUUGAUAGGUUAAUAGCCUAUCAAAUUGACGUUAAUCACAGAAGAAGCACCGGCUAACUCCGUGCCAGCAGCCGCGGUAAUACGGGGGGUGCGAGCGUUAAUCGGAAUAACUGGGCGUAAAGGGCACGCAGGCGGUGACUCAAGUGAGAUGUGAAAGCCCCGAGCUUAACUUGGGAAUUGCAUUUCAUACUGGGUCGCUAGAGUACUUUAGGGAGGGGUAGAAUUCCACGUGUAGCGGUGAAAUGCGUAGAGAUGUGGAGGAAUACCGAAGGCGAAGGCAGCCCCUUGGGAAUGUACUGACGCUCAUGUGCGAAAGCGUGGGGAGCAAACAGGAUUAGAUACCCUGGUAGUCCACGCUGUAAACGAUGUCGAUUUGGGGAUUGGGCUUUGAGCUUGGUGCCCGUAGCUAACGUGAUAAAUCGACCGCCUGGGGAGUACGGCCGCAAGGUUAAAACUCAAAUGAAUUGACGGGGGCCCGCACAAGCGGUGGAGCAUGU